UAGUAUUAUAAUUAAGGCAUCUUGUUGUAUUAAAGCUAUUGGCGGGACUAAGGAUGAGCGUGUGCAAGAUUUAGCUAGUUGGUGAGGUAACGGGCUCACCAAGGCGACGAUCUUUAGCUGAUGUGAGAGCAUGAUCAGCCACACGGGCACUGAGACACGGGCCCGGACUCCUACGGGAGGCAGCAGUGAGGAAUAUUGGUCAAUGGACGGAAGUCUGAACCAGCCAUGCCGCGUGAAGGAUGAAGGCGUUCUGCGUUGUAAACUUCUUUUAUUUAGGAAGAAACCACCGAUUUCUAUUGGUGUUGACGGUAUUAAAUGAAUAAGCACCGGCUAACUCCGUG
rnacentral:rRNA from 1 species